GAGUUUCAGACGAACAACUCAUGAACUUGAGGAAGCUGUCCGUUGGGCUGCGCGCGAAGAAGCAUAUUCAGCGUGGAUGAGGCAAACAUUUGACUGAGUCUGAGACUUGAUGAAGGAUCAUUAGACAGCUGAGUUCGAUCGGUGUCCGGGUCAUAGGGUGGAAGAUGUAGGAGCGAGGAAACGAUUUCGCUGUGAUUGGAGA